GUCUGGGCCAAUCAACUUGCGGGGCGGAAGUGCUGCCCGGAACGGCCAGCGCUGAGGGUUUGAGGGCGGUGCGUAGAGUGUGUUGCAGGUGCGGGUGAAAGGGGCCGCCCACAAAGCGAAAGUGUUGAAGUGUGUUGCUGUGUCAGCCACAGAGGCCAAGGACCUCACAAGAGAAAAGGAUAACGAGACUGAGAGGGGCGAGGAUCUGAAGUAGUGUCUGUAAAUGAGGCGCUCCGGCUCCGGGAGAAACAAGUCCUGAAAGAGCUUUUAAAAAACUUCUAGACACUCCCAAAGACAUAUGAGAUGAAAAGGCUCUUGUUCGUGUGUGUGUAUUGAAAGUCAUUGCCACUGUCUUACCAAUGACUCCAGCUCUGCUUUGUUCCUCAUGCCUCUAAAAAGAUUGCUGAGAUACCCAAUCAAGAGCUGAUCCUUAUGUCCCCUAGACUCUCCUCAGUCAUUCAGCAGAAACCCAACUCCUAGAAAAGUCCCUCCUUAUUCCCUUGGUGUCUCUGGUGUAAAAUCUUCCAGGCAGCAACAAGCUAAUAAACCUAACUUUGUUUGACUACA